GUGUAAUGUUGCUGUGGUAGCGAGUCAGCUGUGGGCUACAACUUGAGCCACGUUUUGCGAUGAUUGUUCACAUUUUUGAAAGAUUGGCACCCUAUAAAGUAUGCCGAAUUAGUUAUUAGUAGUUCAUUAUUGCAUGUAGCCAUGGAUUUACGGACAAGCAACACUGGGAUACUUUUUCUUUCAACUUAAAAACGUGAUGAUUUUAAUGCAAGUUCGAGAGUUUUAAGGAUCGUCUUUUCCCCCUGUGAUAUCUUUGCGGAUUUACGGACGUUUAAUUGCGAUGGACAUGGAAGAUAAUGCUAUUCUGAGGAAGAGAGGAAAACAAAAGGCAGGAUGGAGGAGUGGAGGAAUCCUCAGCAGGGAGGUGAAGGAAAGGGCAGGUCGCCCCCUCGCCGGCCGGCAGACUGAAAUACCACAGCUUGCCCGGGGCUCGUCACCGUCUCUGAUGCUGCCAGGGACUUUCUGACAAGUCAGGGGUACGAGAUGGAUUGGCUGAUGAUGAGUCAGCGGCGUGACUCCGAGCAGAUCACAAGGACCACAAGAGCCCAGAGGUGGACGACCAGCUGACCCAGGAGCUGCAGCACAAGGCGAUGAGUGCAGAGUUUCCGGACCACAACGGAGAAGUUCCUUCACUCCAUUCAUGCCUUCUUCUCUUCGUACUCACUGUAUAGUCACAGUAUUGUAUGUCAUGAAAUAAUUUAAUAAAAAAGUAAGUAGGCUAAUAGUACGUAUUAUGUCAAAAAAAAGCUCAGAAAAGUCAUACAUAAUGUCAAAAAGUGUUAUUACAUAGUUAUUACAUUGUUAUAAGAUGUAUUAUGACAAAAAUCUAUCAAAAAGUCACAAAAAGUGUUAUUACAUAGUUAUUACAUUGUUAUAACAUGUAUUAUGACAAAAAUCUAUCAAAAAGUUAAAAAAAAUGUCAAAAAGUGUUAUUACACAGUUGUACACAGUACAUGCCAUAAAAGUGGGUGUAAAUUAUUUUUUCGUCCAUGAAAAAAAAUUCAAAAAAAAAAAAUCACUUUUUUUCUUAAAUUAGGAUGUUCUCUUCCUUUGUCCUACUCUGGUCUCUCCCUUUCUCUGAGGUGUCCUACUCUGGUCUCUCCCUUUCUCUGAGGUGUCCUACUCUUCUCUGAGUUGUCCUACUCUGGUCUCUCCCUUUCUCUGAGGUGUCCUACUCUGGUCUCUCCCUUUCUCUGAGGUGUCCUACUCUUCUCUGAGUUGUCCUACUCUGGUCUCUCCCUUUCUCUGAGUUGUCCUACUCUGGUCUCUCCCUUUCUCUGAGUUGUCCUACUCUUCUCUGAGUUUUCCUACUCUGGUCUCUCCCUUUCUCUGAGUUGUCCUACUCUGGUCUCUCCCUUUCUCGGACGUGUCCUACUCUGGUCUCUCCCUUUCUCGGACGUGUCCUACUCUGGUCUCUCCCUUUCUCGGACGUGUCCUACUCUUCUCUGAGGUGUCCUACUCUGGUCUCUCCCUUUCUCUGAGGUGUCCUACUCUGGUCUCUCCCUUUCUCUGAGUUGUCCUACUCUGGUCUCUCCCUUUCUCGGAGGUGUCCUACUCUUGUCUCUCCCUUUCUCUGCGGUGUCCUACUCUUCUCUGAGUUGUCCUACUCUGGUCUCUCCCUUUCUCUGAGUUUUCCUACUCUGGUCUCUGCCUGUCCUUGUCUUAAUACUCUCCUACUCUCUCCUUGCCUGCACUUCCUUUCCUAGCCUCUCUUUCCUAUCUGGGGGGCCUAUCUAAGUGCACAUACGCUGAUACCGAGCUGGUCUUGAACCCGUCAC